CCUACGGGAGGCUGCAGUGAGGAAUAUUGGUCAAUGGGCGCGAGCCUGAACCAGCCAAGUAGCGUGAAGGAUGACGGCUCUACGGGUUGUAAACUUCUUUUAUAAAGGAAUAAAGUUAGGCACGUGUGCCUUUUUGUAUGUACUUUAUGAAUAAGGAUCGGCUAACUCCGUGCCAGCAGCCGCGGUAAUACGGAGGAUCCGAGCGUUAUCCGGAUUUAUUGGGUUUAAAGGGAGCGUAGAGGGGUUGUUAAGUCAGUUGUGAAAGUUUGGGGCUCAACUGUUAAACUGCAUUUGAUACUGGCAGUCUUGAGUGCAGUUGAGGUAGGCGGAAUUCGUGGUGUAGCGGUGAAAUGCUUAGAUAUCACGCAGAACACCGAUUGCGAAGGCAGCUUACUAAACUGCAACUGACGUUGAGGCUCGAAAGCGUGGGUAGCAAACAGGAUUAGAUACCCCGGUAGUC
rnacentral:rRNA from 1 species